GGGCGUUUGGCACAGUGGUAGCGCGUAUGCUUUGCAUUUAAGCAACUUGCAUAAGGUCGUGGGCUCGAAUCCCAUUCAUCUCCU
rnacentral:tRNA from 1 species